UAAUGGCAGGUCAGCAUACUGCCGUGAAUACGUUCCCGGGCCCUUGUACACACCGCCCGUCACACCAUGAGAGUUGGAAAUACCCGAAGCCUGUGAGCUAACUUUUAGAGGCAGCAGUCGGAGGUAGAGCCAAUGAUUGGGGUGAAGUCGUAACAAGGUACC
rnacentral:rRNA from 1 species